CCAGGGAGGUCGUGGAGUCUCCCUCCCUGGAGACACUCCAAACUCACCUUGACGCGUUCCUGUGUCACCUGCUCCAGGUGACCCUGCCUUGGUGACAGGUUGGACUGGAUGGUCUCCAGAGGUCACUUCCAACCCUAACGAUUCUGUCAUUCAAUAUGAUUUAAAUUUGAAAUAUGUAUGUGCCUUAAAGAAGCCCGACUCCUCACGCUUUGGAAAACUGUGGCCCUCGAGGCUCAUCCUAAUUUGGGGAGUCCGCCAGGCAAGUAGCUCAUUAGGAGCUGUGAGUAAGCUGUCAUUACAGCUAACGGAGAUGUAGUCAAUACAGACGGCAGAGUCUGGAGAGCUUUUCAGGUGAUCAAAUGAAGGUGUCUGCUUUAGGAUUAAAUUAAUUGCUACGUACGCUGCACCGGCUGUUAUCGAACAGAUCACCACUGCCUCUAAUGGUACAUCAGACACCCAGCUCUCUAGCAGCAUGGUAGACAUCCAAUGUAAGGGCUUCAGUCAGCCAGAUAGGAACUGGAUUCACAGUCCGCUCACAGAGAGGGAGGUAUGCCUAAACCAGACAGAAGGAAGAGAGACAAAGAGACAGCACGUUGGAAAUCCUGACUACCCCAGGCUGAGGUUCUUUCCCCUGAAAAGAAUCUAAAUUGGAUUCACAGCAUGAAACCUAUCGUGUACUUUGCGUCUCUGGCUACAGACAACUGGCUUACUCUUUGCUGAGUUACACAGAAUUGAGAGACAACAUUUAGAAGUUUACAGUCCUGAGAGCCAAGAACUAGUGUUCUUUUUUUUAUAAGCUCUGUUUUGAAGACUUCUCUAGAUUGAUGUCCUACAAGGUAAUCAUAUUAGAGGGAUUCUCCUCUGCCACGUCAAGCACUGGAAUUGGAUUGAAGUCAUAAUCACUAAGCAUAGUAGAGACUUGGGCAUGUAUUCUGCUGAACGGGGAUGCAUUUGGGCAAAUAUUUAAGGACUAUUUUGAAAGCAACUCUAUGGACUUGUUAUCACUGACAGAUAGAACAGAGCUGAAUGAGUAGCAAUAAUUGGCAAGAUUCUCCCAACAACAUACCAAAAUACUUGCAGAUUUGUCAAUACCACUGGAAUAAAGGGAGCCGGCUCUGAAUGUUUUUGCCACUCUGUUAUUAAAGUCUACAAAUAUACUAUGGAGUAUUUGUGGAACAUCUAAUGAUGUCCUUUGUUUCUAAAAAAGGUUUAUUAAGUCAGUUUUUCUGGGAUUAGAUCAGGUGAGAUUCACUAUGUGUUUUUGGGAAAACUGCACACCCCUUGCUAAUAAUUAUAGUUUCACAUACUGAUUGAAUAGCAGAGGAAAUUUAGUUUUUGCCCUCAGAUACAGUGCCAAGCAGGGAGGAUUUUUUCUACCCCAACACUGCUUCUGUCAACUGGUAGAAUUAAGCAAAUUAUUUGCAUUUUUAAGUAUACAGUGUUGACUACUUUGGAGUUAACUGAAAUCAUCAGUCCUCAUGCUUGCCUUGGAACAUAUCCCAGAAUAGGAAGGCUAGCACUUAUCUACUAAUCUACUCAGAACAAGCUUAGAAGGCUUUGACACUGCUCAAAUGUCAGCUUAAAUAUCUCCCAUUUGUUUAUUACAUCUGGUUUGUGGGGUCAGUUUGGUAUGGUCAAAAUAAAGUUAUUUAAAUUUCCUGCUGAAACCAGGAGACUGGAAUUUAUAUUUCCAACUAUUUUCUAAUAGUAAUUUUCUUCUCUGAACUUGUGAUGUUUUUGAAGCACCUCUUAAUUACUAAUUAAUCUCCAACGGUCAGAUGCUCCCCUGGCAUAUAUAAUGAAGGAUAGCAGCAGAGUAAAACAAAGUGGAAAUGUAACACCUCACCCAGGAAUUUUCUGACUAAACUUGGUGCAGGUUAAUGAUUCUGCAGGUUAAUGGCAAGUGGUCUGUGUCUCUCUGACAUCUGAGGUUUCCGUGGCAUUCAAAGUAGCACCUGCAGUUACUACAGUGACCUGAAAUAUGAGCAGAUACCUGAAGAGAGGUUAAUGCUAAAUUUAAUGAUUUCAGUAGCUUCUCCCUGCAGUUUCUAACCCUCGUCUUCAGUUACAGAAGAUGUUAAAGAAGAAAGCUGUGCACCAUACAAACCCUGCAGAGCAGAGUUCAGCUGCAGUGCAGCUUGCUGAUAGCAGCUUGCACAGCAACAGGAGGAAGGGCAGAAGGCAAAGAUUCACUGGGCUAAAAUCAGACUGAUUUGUCCUGUACCUUUACAAAAUUAGUGAAUGUCUCUCAAUCCCUCGGAAGUGAACAAAAAAACUUUGUACUGUGGCAGACCUGCUGUCCUCUUAAACUGUAGUGUGUUCUUUUUAUUACAUAACUCUUUGGGUUUUUUAUUAUAGUUAGAAGAUACAGAACAUUUUCUAGCUUAGUUCUCUCCAUGUAGAGCUGGCGGGCUUACAGUUAUGUGGGGAGCAAUGGAGUGGCUGAAGAAGGAACCUUUAAGUGUUUCUUAAAUUCUAAAGAAGUGUGCAAAAGAAGGCAAUUUAGUGGAAAAAAUGGCAAGAGUAUUGAUUUUUGUCUGUUAUUUUUGCAAUAGUGUGAUUUUGCAUCACACUAUUAUAAAAAAUGUAGAGUGCUCAACCGUUUUACAUUACCUAUGGUUCUAGCCAUGAGGUUUUUUGCAAAACUGUAAAUGCCAUGUUAAACCUGAACUCCUUGUCAAUGUUUAGUAAUACAAAUAUGUGGACAACUCUUGCGCCAAUAACUCAAACAUAACUCACACAGAACUGUCUGUUUUUUCAGCGGGAACCUCUGGAUGGUAGGCAAUCACAGUACAAUACCAGUUUAAGAUACUGGCUUAUCUGGAGCUGAGCCAUGAAGAGUUUUACACUGGAAAUCUUAACCAUCACUUCCCUUUUAACUGUCGACCAGGUGAUCCUAAGCACUCACACCACAUGCACCCAUAUGGUGGCAUCUCUGUCCAAGGUGCAGCACCAAACACUUGAUCAGCAGCUUUGUCUCUUAAGUACUUGUAAAACGCUCCCUUAAAGAUGUCAUACUUAAAUUCUCUAUUUAUUUUCAAUAAAUUUAUUUUCAAUAAAUUUAUUUCAAUAAAGGUUGAGAUUUUGUGCAAAACAAGAACAUACAGUAGCAUGAUCAGGAAUUAAAUUCUAAUACAAAUAUAUUGGGAAAGCAAGUUUAAGAUAGGCAGAUUGAUUCUGAAUUUGCUUAACUGUUGAUUUUCAUCUGAGUUUUUAAUGUUUUAUGUUCAUAUUUCAUUUCACUUGGGUGAGACCUCAUUCUUGUGAGAAUUAAAAAUACACUGGUUCAGCUACUACUGGUUGAGCAGCUGUCACUGCAUUUUUAGAUCAUGCAUCUGAAGGCCACUAAUUUACUGCAAGGUAAAUUGUGAAACAUAGUAAGCAUUAACAAAAUGGUGAUGUUAAAACGUAGUGCUCAGAAGACCCAAUUAAGAAAUCCAUUAGAAGGGCAAAUAAUUAUGUAUAGUAUUGCAUAACACAAUGUAAUUUGCAUAUCUGUGUUCUUUAGUGCAUAGAAGAGAUCAAGAACCAGUCAUCUAUUUCAGACUGAAUUUAUGUGAAGGAGUAGCUUUGAGAUCUGGAGCAUAUGCUAGAUUACCCAAGAUAACUAUCAGCGAUAGCAAGAAACCUUAAAUCUUUAAUAUGCAGAAAAUGAGUUGCAUUGUUCUGCACAGGUAUGGCUGUGCUGAAAUUGCCUAUUCUGAAAAUUAGAUUUUAGAAGAUAUUUAUAGGGGUAUUCAAAGGCCUUUUUCUCCCUGAUACCUAUCCAUAUUUCUCAGAUAUCAUCCCCCUCUUGCUUCACAUCUGUAUUGUAGUGCUAUCUGUGUAUCUCCACACAGUUUAAAGGUUAUUAAAUGCCUGUAUUAACACUUGGAGGCAAAUCUGUGUUUAAGAGAAUACCUGGCAACCCACAUCUUGAUGUUAUCAGGCCUGUAGCAUAACAUUGCUGAGAGAUUAGAAAAACCAAUAAAGCUUUAAGCUGUUCUCCUCCCCAAAUGCCAUUAUCUUAUUUGUAUUUGUGUUAAAUUUGAGCAUGAAGGAAGUCUCACCUUUUUUUCCCUAGUUACCCAUAUCAGAGGAAGUUUGCGUUCAUGUAAUUUUAUUGAAAUACAGUGAUUCCUCAGAAAAUCUUGCAAAAAGUUAAAGGAUGUUCACUCCAGAAAUGUAGUGCACAAUAUUUGCAAUACAAGUGUGUACACCUCCAGGAAAUAAGCAUUCCUGGGGUUUCUUUUGACCUCCAUAAAUAUUAGUAAGGGCAAGGUUAGGUGCAAAAAACCUGUAGCAUACAAAAAUGUAAAAUUUUGCCCAGCUGAGGCCAUUAAAUUGCCAUCGGAAAACUAAACUGCUUUUCAUUAUCAGAAAGAGAAACUACUGUAAAAACAAUUGGUAUAUUGAUAAAUCACAUUUAAAUACAGCUGAGCUAUUAGAAACACAAAAACAUGGGUUAUUACAAUUAUUCUUGAUUCUAUACUGCCAUUAUCUGUUUGCUGCUACAUCGUUAUGCUAGGGAGAUUUCUAAAACUGAAGA